UUCGCAAUGCCCGAAAGGGUGACGAAGCGACGCCGCGUGCGGGAAGAAGGCCUUCGGGUUGUAAACCGCUGUCGGGAGUUAAGAAAUGCAAGGGUGUUAACAGCAUCCUUGCUUGACUAAGGCUCCGGAGGAAGCCACGGCUAACUCUGUGCCAGCAGCCGCGGUAAUACAGAGGCGGCAAGCGUUGUUCGGAAUUAUUGGGCGUAAAGAGCACGUAGGCGGCUGUGUAAGUCGGUUGUGAAAGCCUUCCGCUCAACGGGAGAACGGCAUCCGAUACUGCAUGGCUUGAGUGCGGGAGGGGAGAGUGGAACUUCUGGUGGAGCGGUGAAAUGCGUAGAUAUCAGAAGGAACACCGGCGGCGAAGGCGACUCUCUGGCCCGUAACUGACGCUGAGUGUGCGAAAGCUAGGGGAGCAAACGGGACUAGAUACCCCGGUAGUCCUAGCCGUAAACGAUGGGCACUAAGUAGAGGGGUUUU
rnacentral:rRNA from 1 species